rnacentral:rRNA from 1 species
GUUGAACGCUGGCGGCAUGCUUUACACAUGCAAGUCGAACGGUAACAGGGUGCUUGCACCGCUGACGAGUGGCGAACGGGUGAGUAAUGCGUCGGAACGUGCCGAGUAGUGGGGGAUAACGCAGCGAAAGUUGUGCUAAUACCGCAUACGUACUGAGGUAGAAAGUGGGGGACCUUCGGGCCUCACGCUAUUCGAGCGGCCGACGUCUGAUUAGCUAGUAGGUGAGGUAAAGGCUCACCUAGGCGACGAUCAGUAGCGGGUCUGAGAGGAUGAUCCGCCACACUGGGACUGAGACACGGCCCAGACUCCUACGGGAGGCAGCAGUGGGGAAUUUUGGACAAUGGGCGAAAGCCUGAUCCAGCCAUGCCGCGUGUCUGAAGAAGGCCUUCGGGUUGUAAAGGACUUUUGUCAGGGAGGAAAUCCCUAGCGUUAAUACCGCUGGGGGAUGACAGUACCUGAAGAAUAAGCACCGGCUAACUACGUGCCAGCCGCCGCGGUAACAC